rnacentral:rRNA from 1 species
UACAGAGGUCCCAAGCGUUGUUCGGAUUCACUGGGCGUAAAGGGUGCGUAGGCGGUUGGGUAAGUCUGAUGUGAAAUCUCACAGCUUAACUGUGAAACUGCAUUGGAUACUAUCCGGCUAGAGGAAUGGAGGGAGACUGGAAUACUUGGUGUAGCAGUGAAAUGCGUAGAUAUCAAGUGGAACACCAGUGGCGAAGGCGAGUCUCCGGACAUUUCCUGACGCUGAGGCACGAAAGCCAGGGAGCAAACGGG